GACAGAGGGUGCAAACGUUGCUCGGAAUUACUGGGCGUAAAGCGCGUGUAGGCGGGCCGACAAGUCAGAUGUGAAAUCCCUGGGCUCAACCCAGGAACUGCAUUUGAAACUGUUGGCCUUGAGUGGUGGAGAGGGAAGCGGAAUUCCUGGUGUAGAGGUGAAAUUCGUAGAUAUCAGGAGGAACACCGGUGGCGAAGGCGGCGACCUGGUCCGAUACUGACGCUGAGGCGCGAAAGCGUGGGGAGCAAGCAGG
rnacentral:rRNA from 1 species